GGUUAUACAUUUUUUUCUUUUUUAAACAAAUGCUUGGUUUGAUCAGUAGGAAAAACAGAUCUUCAUUCUUUAUAUUUGGAAAAGUUAUUUUUCAUUUAUUUUAGCUUUUAAAUAGUGAGUGUAGUAGUCACAGGUCAAACAUGAAAGAGGGGGCACCCUCAAAUUAGAACAAUUUGAGUAAGGUUGAAUUAAGUGACUAUUUAAAAUGUAGGUAAGGUGUAAGGAAUCCCAAAUAAUAGUGCAUUACCUCUGGUAUCCUUCCACUCCAGGCCCGAAGAGAAACAAGGGCUGGGAAGAAAAAAGGAAUCCUGUAGAGAGGACUCCUUCACCCAUGGAACACUGUCACCCUGGGUAACUGCUGGGAGGGAACCUUUGAAUACAAAUCUUGACCUCACUUUCCUCACUCAUUCAGAAGUGUCCCAAUCAGUAGCCAGAAGACAAGAGAGCCCAUUGAUAUAGUCCAUUUACCUCAGCCUCCCGGGGCAGAAAGCAAGGUAGAAAAAUGUGGAGAGUGAAUCUCACAGGGGCAAAAAGAACUCUAAAAUAAUGAGUGUACAUGAUAGAAUGAAAACCGGUAAGUAUAAAAUCUAGUGCUAAGUCUUUCCAGCAAAGGAAUGGGAGCUGGGGAAGAGGAUUUGGGCCAUAAAAACCUUCUUCUUUGGGAAGACUAAGGACCUUUGGAAAUGGCUGGCAAGGGGCAGGAUAUGGAGAAAUGGGGAGUUGUAGUCCUUUAACAGGCCAGCUUAAACUCUGUCAAUUGGCUAAAGAUUCUUAGUACAAUUGAUGCACCAGAAAAAAAAAAUGAUUAGCCUUGAAUCUAGCAUACAUUCUUAGUGCUAAUAACAAUGAUGUGCUGAUUAUAUCAUUGCUAUUUACUUUCAGGGUUGUACCUGACAAACUGCGUUCUCUGGCCUUGGGUGUAAGCUAUGUGAUUUUGAGAAUAUUUGGGACUAUUCCUGGACCAUCAAUCUUUAAAAUGUCAGGAGAAACUUCUUGUAUUUUACGGGAUGUUAAUAAAUGUGGACACACAGGACGUUGUUGGAUAUAUAACAAGACAAAAAUGGCUUUCUUAUUGGUUUUCUUUGCAAACUAUGCACUAUCAUCUUCACUACUAUUGCAUUUUUCAUAUACAAACGUCGUCUAAAUGAGAACACUGACUUCCCAGAUGUAACUGUGAAGAAUCCAAAAGUUAAGAAAAAAGAAGAAACUGACUUGUAACUGGAUCAUCAUUGUAUUCUCCAAGAUUUGUUUCUGUGCCCAACUUUCAGAAGAGGAAAAUCACACAUUAUGUUUACAUAAGUAGCAAAAAUAUAUUUAUGGUGAUCUGCAUUUUCAUAAUAAAGUGUCCUAUUGUG
rnacentral:lncRNA from 1 species